CGUUCAAACAACGAAAAGCAUAUCUGCGCUUGCCUUGCGCACAGUCUCGCACAGAUGCUACAGCCCUUUUGGCCGUGCUGUGCUUUGUUGUGGUGCGGGGGAAAGGCGGACGCCGAUGCGGUGCGCGGCCGACUCAGCGCAGCUGAACCCUCUUUAUCCGUCGCAUCACGCGUUGAUGCAAGACCCCUGUUUACCCACCGACCUCGCCGUUUUCCUUGUUACUCUCUUUCCACAUCCGCAUGGGCAUACUUCACUGAAAUUCGGCGAUACGCCAUCCACUGAGAAGGGACGACCCGAACCGCAAAAAAGGCAGCUAAGAGGACAACGCGCACUUUUCUCCUCCGCAGUGUUUUCAUAUUCAAGGACUGCCUUUCUUUCGCCUCCUCUUUCUCCCUCUCCCUGCCUCACUCUUUCUCUCCAUGUAUGCGUGUGCUCGCCUGCAUGUGCAGCGGGUUUCUGUAUCGGAGCAACCCGAACUCACGCCUCGACGCCUCCCUCCUUUUCCUGGACUCUUACUGGACCUCGCUCUCCAGCUCGUCCUCGGAACGAUGUCUUCCUAUUUUCUGUGCACGCGUGCGUGUGCGUUUCCGAACGUACGCAGAACCGUACAAACCGAGUAACAAACAACCCCGAAACAAAAACGUUCAGUAAAGAGGGCACGAGGAAGCACCAGCACCAGCACCAGCAGCGGCGGCGGCAGGAGCAUCGCCCAUGUAAUGAUCCUCCAAGCUGUUCUGUCCUAUCGCUGAAUCGUACCCGGAUUCGCCCGCUUGUUUGCUUGCUCUUUGCUCCGUUCAUGUUUAUCCUUCUUUCUAUAUUUCUUCGUGUUUGUGUCGCAG
rnacentral:misc_RNA from 1 species